rnacentral:tRNA from 1 species
AGUUGUUUAGCUUAAGCAUAAAAGCAUAUAUUUUGAAAAUAUAAGAUAGAGAAAUUUAAUAACUU